rnacentral:tRNA from 2 species
GCGGAUGUGGCUCAAUGGUAGAGCAUCGGCUUCCCAAGCCGAGGGUUGCGAGUUCGAAUCUCGUCGUCCGCUCCA